AGUGAACGCUGGCGGUAGGCCUAACACAUGCGAGUCGAACGGCAGCACAGUAAGAGCUUGCUCUUACGGGUGGCGAGUGGCGGACGGGUGAGGAAUACAUCGGAAUCUACUUUUUCGUGGGGGAUAACGUAGGGAAACUUACGCUAAUACCGCAUACGACCUACGGGUGAAAGCAGGGGAUCUUCGGACCUUGCGCGAUUGAAUGAGCCGAUGUCGGAUUAGCUAGUUGGCGGGGUAAAGGCCCACCAAGGCGACGAUCCGUAGCUGGUCUGAGAGGAUGAUCAGCCACACUGGAACUGAGACACGGUCCAGACUCCUACGGGAGGCAGCAGUGGGGAAUAUUGGACAAUGGGCGCAAGCCUGAUCCAGCUAUACCGCGUGGGUGAAGAAGGCCUUCGGGUUGUAAAGCCCUUUUGUUGGGAAAGAAAAGCAGCGGGUUAAUACCCCGCUGUUCUGACGGUACCCAAAGAAUAAGCACCGGCUAACUUCGUG
rnacentral:rRNA from 1 species